ensembl:snRNA U6 U6 spliceosomal RNA
GUGCUCACUUCAGCAGUACACAUAAUAUUGAAACAAUACAAAAAGAUUAGCAUGGCCCCUGUGCCAGAAUGACACAAAUUCGGGAAGCCUUCCAUAUUUAA